ACGAACGCUGGCGGCAUGCCUAACACAUGCAAGUCGAACGGAGAUAUUUAGAGAGCUUGCUUUUUAGAUAUUUUAGUGGCGGACGGGUGAGUAACACGUGGACAACCUGCCCGUAUCACCGGGACAACGUCUGGAAACGGACGCUAAUACCGGAUGUGCUUGAGAGAUCGCAUGGUUUUUCAAGGAAAGGGGAAACCCGGAUACGGAUGGGUCCGCGGCCCAUUAGCUAGUUGGUGGGGUAAAGGCCUACCAAGGCGACGAUGGGUAGCCGGCCUGAGAGGGCGAUCGGCCACACUGGGACUGAGACACGGCCCAGACUCCUACGGGAGGCAGCAGUGGGGAAUAUUCCGCAAUGGGGGCAACCCUGACGGAGCAAUGCCGCGUGAGUGAAGAAGGCCCUUGGGUCGUAAAGCUCUGUUUUCGGGGACGAAGAAAGUGACGGUACCCGAGUAGGAAGCCCCGGCUAACCACGU
rnacentral:rRNA from 1 species